AUCCCGUGAUGAGGGCCUCGAUGUAGUAACUCCUUGAAUCUUUCCCAUGCCUCGUAUAAGGACUCAUCAUCCAAUUGUUGAAAAGUGGUGAUCUCAUUCCGUAACU
rfam:Gossypium raimondii Chr01_contig_1248, whole genome shotgun sequence.